UAGGGAAUCUUCGGCAAUGGGGGGAACCCUGACCGAGCAACGCCGCGUGAGUGAAGAAGGUUUUCGGAUCGUAAAGCUCUGUUGUUAAGGAAGAACGAGUGUGAGAAUGGAAAGUUCAUACUGUGACGGUACUUAACCAGAAAGGGACGGCUAACUACGUGCCAGCAGCCGCGGUAAUACGUAGGUCCCGAGCGUUGUCCGGAUUUAUUGGGCGUAAAGCGAGCGCAGGCGGUUAGAUAAGUCUGAAGUUAAAGGCAGUGGCUCAACCAUUGUAGGCUUUGGAAACUGUUUAACUUGAGUGCAGAAGGGGAGAGUGGAAUUCCAUGUGUAGCGGUGAAAUGCGUAGAUAUAUGGAGAAACACCGGUGGCGAGAGCGGCUCUCUGGUCUGUAACUGACGCUGAGGCUCGAAAGCGUGGGGAGCGAACAGG
rnacentral:rRNA from 1 species